rnacentral:rRNA from 1 species
UACGUAGGGGGCGAGCGUUGUCCGGAUUCAUUGGGCGUAAAGAGCUCGUAGGCGGCUUGGCAAGUCGGGUGUGAAAACUUCAGGCUCAACCUGGAGCGGCCACUCGAUACUGCCAUGGCUUGAGUCCGGUAGGGGACCACGGAAUUCCUGGUGUAGCGGUGAAAUGCGCAGAUAUCAGGAGGAACACCGGUGGCGAAGGCGGGUCUCUGGGCCGAUACUGACGCUGAGGAGCGAAAGCGUGGGGAGCAAACAGG